rnacentral:ncRNA from 1 species
AAGCCGGGUUACGGUGCCCAACUGCGCGCUAACCUAGAACCCACAAAGGGUGUUGGUCGAUUAAGACAGCAGGACGGUGGUCAUGGAAGUCGAAAUCCGCUAAGGAGUGUGUUACAACUCACCUGCCGAAUCAACUAGCCCCNNNNNNGGAUGGCGCUGAAGCGCGCGACCCACACCCGGCCAUCUGGGCGAGCGCCAUGCCCCGAUG